GUCCCUGUAGAGCAAUGGAUAGCACCUUGGACUUUUAAUCCAAAAGUUCGUGGGUUCAAAUUCCACCUGGGAAG
rnacentral:tRNA from 1 species